rnacentral:lncRNA from 1 species
UGGCCGUCAUUCCCACAUGUUACAGUAGAAGAUACUCUAGAACUGUACAAGGUUAAAAAGGUAACAUGUAGUUUGUCCCAAGGUGUUUGCCUCCUCACCCAGAGCAAGACCUCCACCUCCUCACCCAGAGCCAGACCUCCACCUCCUCACCCAGAGUCAGACCUCCACCUCCUCACCAGAGCCAGACCUCCACCUCCUCACCCAGAGCCAGACCUCCACCUCCUCACCCAGAGCCAGACCUCCACCUCCUCACCCAGAGCCAGACCUCCACCUCCUAUCAGAAGUCUUCCAGAACAGCUUAAAGGCGAGUCCGAGAGGCUGGGGACCGGAGGCUUGUGGUGCCAGGGUGGACCGGAGACUAAGGCUGGAGACCAGGGGCCUGCAGCACCGGACCAGAGGGUAACCGUCACCAAGCUCAUCUGAAACACUAAAAUCCACGGUAGUUUAGGUCUGGUUUUGAUCAUCUUAUGACUAUAAAUCUGUGCCAAGCGUUGAUUUGAGUUAAUUCAUACGGGGGUUAUGCAAGAGUCAUAUGAGCCAUUAAUGUUGCUAGUGCUGCUACGACCGUAGUGGAUGAAUUGCUGAACGUGACAAUCUGCAGACGUUGUCUAAUUUAAGUGUUUAAAUUUGUCUUCCAUUUUACAAGUGAACCUCAGAUGCAGGAGGUGGGGUGUGUUGCGUCCCCAGGUGAUUUACUGCUGAGACCAACUGUUUGACCAGACCAGGAAUCCAUGGCUGAAGGAGCUGAUGGAGGAGCUGUGCAGAAGGCCCUGCCUUGUGGAGGAGCUGGUGGAGGCCCUGCCUGGUGAAGGACGUCUGUCGUGGGGUAGAUGGAGCUUGACUCUGAAGUGAUCGACACACUCACUGCCACUUCUCGUAGAAUACUGCUACCACAAACUACCGGCGUUUGUACCAUAUAUACCAGACGACUACAUCUGUUUUACCACAUGUUGAAGCAAGACUUCCGCUGUUUGUUCCAGACCAGGACUCUGUCUGAGGAGAGCUGCUGGAGGAGCUGAGACGCUGGAGGACGACUUUGAAUCGACCAACAAGGAUUCCUCGUAAGUUUGUAUUUACUUGCAUAGUUGACUUAAAGGGCAAAAUACAGCUGUUACUUUGACAUGCGUUAACCAACUACCGCUGUGUUUUCUUACUAGAACGUGUUUCUGGCUGAGGAGAGCUGAUUGAGGAGCCAAGACUCUGGAGGACGACAUCACUCCACCAACCAGGAUCCUCGUAAGUUUGCCUAAAAUAAACAGAGUGGACUUGUUGUAACGCAGGAUUAGUUUGUCCAGUACAAGUUACGGCAUACUAUUGUGGUUGUUUACAAGACUAACUACAGCUGCUACUUUGUUACCUUACAUUAGAGCCCAACUACUCCUGUGUUUGUGACCUUAUAUUAGAGACAAACUACUCCUGUGUUUGUGACCUUACAUUAGAGACAAAUUACGUUUGCAACCAGACCAGGAAUCUGGAGGACUGAUGGAGAAGCCAUACAUCUGGAAGGCAAAUCCUGAGGACCACCAGGACUCUACCAUCAAGGAUUCCUCAUAAAUGUGCAUUAUCUGGACAUAGUGGACUAGGUAGGGGGUUGGGGGUUCAACUCUCAAACCAAUGGUGCCGGGUUCAAGUCCUCAGAAUACAGUGAUGCGUCCUUGAGCAAGGCGCCCUAAAGCCUGCCUGCUCCUUAAUGACUUAUCUUUGGUUCAGAUAAUGUUGCAUCUUUUGAAUAUUGAACCUAAACAAUGUCCUUGUUUGGUCCGGGCAGACACACCUGAACCUCACCUGAUCCUGUUUGGUCGGGGGUAGACACACCUGAGCUAAACCCGCCCUGAUCCUGACAUCCUGCUGGUCCCGUCUCCUCAGUUCAUCUGAGCCUCGUCCUCCAGAAGACCUGCUGAGCUCAGCAGUCUGAGGCUGAUGGAUCAAUGACCUCCAGUGGGAGUGAUCUUCUUGACCCCACAUGUAACCGUGUGCUUCCACACGCCUUUUCCUCACGUCUGUCACUAACCUCACUACUUCACUACUCUCUACUGCUUCCUCUUUUCUUCCUUCUCUGUGGUUCAAACCUUUACACUGAAGACGCGUCUUCCUGCCCUCAGAGGGUUUAGCGUUAGGGUUGAGAGUCAGGGUUUAGAGGCAGGGACGGAGCUGGUCAGGGAGGACUGCUUUUACACAAACCUCUUCACUUGCUUUCGGAAUGGUGGUGACAUUUUGAAAAGAUUCAUUUGGGAAAAUGUUUUCCUCUGCUUUCCUUUACAAAAUUGUAUUAAACUUCUGUCAAGUGUUUUUGUUCAUAUAUUAAAAUCCCACAUUGACUUCUACAUGUUUGAUGCGGUCAUUUAAUUGUCCUUAAUGUCAAGCUAAACUCCUGCAAUACAUUGAAUAUACAUGAUUGUUAUUCAGCAAUGUUCACAUAAUCCAUUUCGUAAAAAUAUGAAACCUCCAUAUUGC